rnacentral:pre_miRNA from 1 species
GACUUCAACUGAAAAAGUCAUCAACAACAAAGUUGUAUAAUCCAUCUGUAUCUACAAUUUUUAUUUUGGUCAUUUCUUCAUCUGACAAAGUGAUAGUAACAUUGUUUACAAAUUUUACAUAUCUCUUAUACUGUUUUAUAAUCUAUAAGAGAUAUAUGUAAAUUUUGUGAACAAUGUUACUAUUACUUUAUCGGAUGAAGAAGUGACCAAAAUAAAAGUUAUAGAUAUUAAUGAGUUAUACAACUUUAUUGUUGAUGAAUUUUUCAGUUGAAAUC